rnacentral:rRNA from 1 species
UACAGAGGUGGCAAGCGUUGUUCGGAAUUACUGGGCGUAAAGGGCGCGUAGGCGGCCAUCUAAGUCAGACGUGAAAUCCCCCGGCUUAACCUGGGAACUGCGUCUGAUACUGGACGGCUGGAGUUUGGGAGAGGGAUGUAGAAUUCCAGGUGUAGCGGUGAAAUGCGUAGAUAUCUGGAGGAAUACCGGUGGCGAAGGCGGCAUCCUGGACCAACACUGACACUGAUGAGCGAAAGCCAGGGGAGCAAACGGG